rnacentral:lncRNA from 1 species
GCUUAUAUAUAUAUAUAUAUCUUUGCUUAGUUUGCUAAAUAAAUAAAUAAAGUUUGCUAUGAACCCUCAUGAUAAGCUCUCACAUGGAAAUGAUGAAUAGUUGCUCUGCCAUGAUUAAUUUUCAAAAUUGAAAUCUCUCUCAAGUUUAGGCAUGACUGUUAUUAAUUAAGAUUUGCUCUAAACCUGAACUUGUGGGAAGAGUACUUGAUCUAAAGUCUAAGUCGUUAACGGAUAUGAUAUGGGAAGAUUGAGCUGUUGUUUAUCUGUUCCUAGAGAUGCUAGAAUUCUGGAGAAUUUUAUCUUUGAAAAUCUUUAAAAUGUUGCAUGAUGAGUUCCUCUAUGAUGAGAGUUUAAAUUCCUACCACAGCCAUAUAUACAUGCUUGCUAGACUAUGAGCCACACAUUUACUUUUUACUACUUAUGAGCAUUGAGUGUGGUCAAGCUGUGUAGACCCUUAGGAGCUUGUCAUGUGGUUAAAUCAAGUUUCACUUGCACGUUCACUCACACAUGCUGCUUCUACCCCGGAAGUAUGCAUCCACAUAUAUCCACUCAUUUCCAUCUCUAGAACCACCCAAAAAUAUUCUACUCCUAAUCCGGGAGAGAAUAGCCAAAAAUAUUUCUGUUUUCCCCUGUGAAAUAAAUGCUCAAGUUAUCUUGGUUACUACCACUUGCUAUAUUAUUUCAAGAGAUGAGUGCUCUAAAAAAAAGAGAUACGAGGAAAUAAAAAGGGGCAAGUGCCCGGAACCUCGAAAGAAAAGAAAAAGUGAGACGAGAGGUAAAAAUGGACAAGUGUCCGACAGUAGAAUUAGGGGUACAAAAUACCCACCUGAGAGAAAAGAAAAAGAAAAUAUAGAGCAUCUCAUUCUCCUCAAAAAGCCUCAAGUGCAAGAAAGGUAUGUAUCCCCUCAAAAGAGCAAAAGUAGAAUUAGACUUUCACCACUGUUAUCACCAUCAUCACCAUUAUCACCAUUCAUUCGCCACACAUGCACAUCUUGAUUUGACUUAUUGACUUGGUCUUCUGGAUCCAUGGUUUGACUAUGCAAUAAAUGUCUUGUAAGUAUGUAUUAGCUGUCUCCCACCUAUGAGCUCCAGAUAUUAAAGCCUUAUUAGAGUAGGAUGAGAGAGAAUGCAAUGUCACUAUGUCUUAUACCACAAAUACCACAUACUUUGAGAGAAGGCAUAUACCAUUACUGCCUUGGUAAGGAUCUAGAAAUACCACAAAAUAGAGACUAGAGAGAGUCAUACAAGGAAUCUCUGAGUUUUAUUUGAAAAUCUACAAAAACUCUAGAGCUAUAGUUAAUCGAAGAACAAGAAACAUGGCGCUUGACUAGACCGUUCUAUCUUUUAACUGCUCAAGACACAAGUGAUGGUUGCAAGCCCCACGGUGGAAGGUAAAAUGAGUAAGUUUAAAUCUUAACAGUUUACCCUAACCCAGAGAUGAGAUCUUGUUUGAAUGCAUGUAUAUCUUUACGGCAUGAAACCGCUGCAGAAACUUUUGAGUUUAUCUUUGCUCAGGGACGAGCAAAGGUUAAGCUUGGGGGAGCUUGUUGACGGUCCUUAAUGCUCACAUUUAACCAUCAAUUAAUCAUGGAAAAGGAUCCAAAUGCAACCAACACCUAGACUUAUAGUUUUAUCUGACAGAAUUCCAUGAGUUUUGGUGUUUGUCUAUUUCUGUAGGGGGUUAUCAGGAAAUACGGAGGAAAGACCCACACGUCGGGUUUACAUAGAGAUAUUAACAUGCCGCGUAAUUUUCUAUCAUCUAGAAGACUCCAGAAGCCACGGAAACAAAGCGGAAGCCGAGAGGCCUCUAGGACAGGGUGCCCGCCCUAGUCCUGAGGGCGCCCGCCCACCUUUUUCCACCAAACAGAGUCCAAUUCGGGGACAACACUCCACCGACCUAAUGGACCAAGGAAAACUGUGCAAUUAAUGUCGGUUUGAUCCGACGGCCCAGAUUCAUCUGAAAAGACUAUAUAAGCAAGGCCCCCUGGCCCCUGGAGAUCAUACCUCUUCUACAGAAUCAAAGCUAGGGUUUCAAUUCUUCAUCCAAGUAGAGAGGAUCCCUCUAGUUCAUCUAGUUCUAGUUCUAGUUCCUCUAGUUCUAGUUCUAGUUAGUUCUAGUUGUAAUCUAGAAAAUAGGGAGAGAGAAGAGGAGAGCGGAGGAGGAGCCAGAUCUAUCGGAUCUUCCUCAACAUUGUACUUUUGCAGCAACUGGUUCGUUCUUCAUCGUUCUCCAGGUUCUUCAAUUCAUAAUUCCUGAGUUCUUUAAUUACUUUUAUUUACAUUCAAGUUAUUUAUUGGAUUCCCGCUUGCAUCAAGUGCUCUAAUCUUUGCAACAUUAGAGUAGUAAUUAAUAGAUUAGACGUGGUGUUUAGUCUUGCAAUUACCUGGAAUUGCACCCAAUCCUGCGGAUUGUUGUGGUAGCCUUAGGGUAGUGACAGCCCUAACGGUCGACGUAUUCCACCUCGUUCGGAUCGGUGUUUGUAGGACCGUAGUCAGAGCUUCCUAGCCCCCUUCUCAUCUCUUUCUGUGGUUAGUGUUCUGAUGUCCCGAAAUAGAUAAUCUUGAAGUAAUUCUUGAUUCUUAGAUCAAUUAGAGAACUCUCAGGAAACUUCCUCUCUUUCCACCAAAAAUAAUUAUAUAGUUAUCCUUGGGCAAUCUUGAUUCUUAAUUAGUACCCUGGAAUACUCCCGGGUGAAAGCUACAUCGGUAUUCGUGCGCUUGCGGAUUUUUCUGUUUGCGUUUAAAAUACCCAACAGUAGGCGUGGUGCUUAUACCGUAUUUAUCUGCGAUUGUACCUAAUAUGCCAGAUCGUGGGGUAGUUCGUGAUAGUGACAGCUUCAUUGAUUCUUAUAUAGUCCCCCUCUCGUAUAUUGGGCUGGCAGAGCAACAUUAUUACAGUGGAGUGAUUGCGAUGUUUCUCAUAUUCCUUGCUAAUAUAACUAUGCAUGGGCGUAUUCUUGUCUCGCAAUGAUUGCUAAGUAUACUUACAUUAACUAUGAUAUGCUAGACUAUAUAGUUGAGAAUAACUUAGGAAAUAUUCUUGUAGUUCGUUAUAAUUCCAUGCUAAUGACUUGCUAGAAUAUCUAAUUGAGGUGCUUAUCAUAUUUAUUAUGUGGCUAAGUUAUGCUGAUCAGAUUAAUUAUCUUUGUCACUAUUCAUUAAUUCAUAUAUCUUUUAUGUGACACUUAUCCCUGUAUGAAAGAGUGAGAUAAAUGUUCUCAAUUAUACAUGCAAUGAUAGAUACUCAAUCUCAUAUUCCAUUCUAUAGUCAAUAUUGAUGAUUGCUAAUCCCUUCCCAGUGGUAAAAAUAUAAAUAACGAUACUUGGAAUACUUCCCGGUUAAAAUGCUACAUUGGUAUUAAUCUGUGCGCUUGCAGAUCCCAUUCAUUAUUUAUUUAGAAGAGCAAUUGCAUAUUUCAAUACCGCGUAUCUUAUAUCAUGCUGGGGAUGACAACUUGGCUUAAGUGGUAUGAGGGAUAGGUUUGGCAUUUUUGGCACCAUUAUCAGAAUUAGAAAACUGUCUACUUUUGGUAGUGAUGUUAAGAAUACCCAACAAGCAUUUUUGGCGCCGUUGCCGGGGAACGUUGAUUACUAAUCAGGAAUGAAUAUAGGACUUUGAGUUAUCAUUCGCACCACUAAUAUGAUUGAGCUUAUCAAUUCUCUCAUACAGUUUUACCCCGAUAUUUUUCUAUUUUAUCUUAUGCAGGGUAAUGUAUGAAUAGAAGACAUCUUCCAGGAAAUUUUGUUGACAAUCCCGAAGCAUUAUUCAGAAAAACAAGAGCCAAGCUCAAGAAGGGAUCAUCAACACUUCAGCACGAAGCUCCAAUCAAGAAGAUCACCGGAACUUGUUUUCAGAAUUUGAAGUCAUGGCGAACAAAUCGAUCCGUGAGUUCUCAGCUCCCACUACGGACAACAUCCGCACUGGACCUACUGCAGAGAUCAAUGGCAACUUUGAGCUCAAGCCUGGACUUAUCAACAUGGUGCAAUCCAACCAGUUCUAUGGGAAGGCACACGAAGAUGCUAGUGCUCAUCUCCAACACUUCCUGGAGAUUUGCAACACAUUUACCAUAUCAGGAGUCCCCAGAGAUGCUAUACUACUUCGCCUCUUCCCAUUCUCACUGUUGGGGAGAGCGAAGCAGUGGUUCUACACUACAAAGGAGAAGAAUACUACAUGGGCACUCUGCUCCACGAACUUUCUGGCUAAGUUCUUUCCCAUGGGCAAGACCAAUGCUCUCCGUGGGAAGAUUACAAGUUUUCAGCAACAACAUGAUGAAUCUGUUCCAGAAGCAUGGGAGUGCUUCCAAGACUACAUCCUAGAAUGUCCCCAUCAUGGAAUGGAGAGCUGGCUACUAAUGCAGACAUUUUAUCAUGGGCUCGGCAAUAGUGCCCGAGAAACCAUGGAUGCUGCAGCUGGAGGAGCAUUCCUAUCACUCACUAUAUCACAAGCCACAGCUCUUGUGGAGAAGAUGGCGUCCAACCAAAGCUGGAAUGAAGAGAGGACCCAGACACACAAGAGAGGUGGAGGUAUGCAUCAGCUCAAGGAGGUAGACAUGCUUUCUGCAAAGCUAGACCUGCUCAUGAAGAAGCUCGAUGAUAGAGCUGGAGAUAAGAAAGAAGUUAUGCACCUCUACGACUCUCACAUGACUUGUGAGGAGUGUGGAGACACUGGACACUCAGGCAAUCACUGCCCUGAGAUGCUUGAGGAUGUGAACUACAUGAACAAUAACAACAACAACUACUACAACCGUCCUCAACAAAAUCAAGGUUGGAAUCAACAGAGGCCUAACUACUCAGGUAAUUAUCAAGGUAACAAUUCUUACAAUAAUAAUAAUAAUUUUUCACCUCUGAGAGAGUUAGUGUCUAAUCAAGGAAAGCUAAUGGAUAACCUAUCUAAAAAAUUGGCAUCUAAUGAUAAAAUGCUAGAAAAUAUAAAUAAUAGAAUGAAUAAUUUCUCUACUGCCGUUUAGAAUCAAAUUAGCUUUAAUAAAAUGAUUGAAUCUCAGUUAAAUCAAAUAGCUGCUGCUGUUCCUACUACUAACCCCGGUAUACCAUCACAACGAGAAAGAUUAGAAUCUGUAAAUCUUGUAGACAUAUUUGAUCUGGGUAAUUGGAGUAACCCUGUCACUGAAGUUACUACUGACCUUCUGCCGGUCAAGAGAGGCGAUCCAGGACGCCCCGUCAUCCUGAUCUCCAUUGGCAUGGUGGACUUCCCAGAAGCACUCUGCGACUUUGGCUCUAGUGUCAACAUUAUGCCCAGGGUAUUCUAUGAAAAAUUAUUUACAUAUCCUUUAUUAGAGACAACCAUGUGUUUGCAGUUUGCAGAUAAGACGAUAAGUUUUCCAAAAGUAAUAUUGAAGAACCUUUGUGUCCGAGUUGGUACCUUAUAUGCCCCAGCAGACUUCGUGGUGAUAGAGACCGGUAAUGAUGAGAGAGCACCCAUCAUCUUAGGGAGGCCAUUCUUAAACACAUCGGGAGCCGUCAUCUACGUUAGUGCUGCCAAGAUCAGUUUCUAUGUCAAAGGGAGGAAGGAGACGUUUUCCUUCAAGAACAAGACUACACAAAUCCCAGAUCAAUCCAUACGUGAACCAAAGAAGAGGACCAACAGGAGGAACAGGAACAAGCAAGUGUGGACCGAGUCAGCUAAGAUGGUCACUACAGUUCAUGGAGGCCAAGAUCAUCAACUUAAGUCAUUGUUUUUGACCAAGAAGGAUGACCCAGGAAUGCCAAGCAUGUAUUGCUCCAUUAAUGGAUACAACUUCUACAAGACGACUUGUGACACUGGAUCGAGCGUCAACAUAAUGGCCGCAAUCACCUAUCGGCUCUUGUUCAGAACUAUGCCCUUAAAACCAACAUACAUUCAGCUCCAGAUGGCAGAUCAAACAUUUCGAGAAGUUAAAGGAAUAGUAACUGAUGUCCUAGUCAAAAUAGACGAUUAUUUUGUCUACACAGACUUUCAGGUUAUUGACAUGGGAGAAGACGAAUACGAUCCACACAUCAUGCUUAGAAGACCGUUCCUCAGCACCGUUAAAGCAAUCAUCUACAUUGGAACUGGAGAAGUCUAUAUGCACUUCCCCUCAGAGAAGGUACGCCGCUAUUUUACUGACCCUAACUAUAUCGUUGAAGAUUCUAAGUAGGUCAGAAAACGACGCAACCACAACCAGAGGAGGCAAAUCAUCAAGGACGGAUGGGCAGACUAUGAAGGAGAAGUGAUAAGAUCAGAAGACGUACAGUUUAAACAGAAUUAUCCAGAGGAGACCGUAGCACCGAGUCAGGUGUGGAAAGAGAAGAUAACCAUACAUGAAGAGGAGGCGCUGCCGGAAGUACCGACUACGCCACCCAACGAAUCCCAGGACAAUUGAGAAAACGGAGAGUCCCGUUCGGAGAACUUUAAAACACCGAACGCCUUGCCAAGAGGUAAACUUGGUAGUUAUCUUUUCCCUUUCAAUUAUUUAAAAUAGUUUAAUUAGUUGAUCAUGUUCAUACUAUCCUAAAAAGAAAAUAAAAAUGUUAAAAAAUAGUAAGCCCCAUGUGAGUAUACGAGUGGCAUAAAAUCCAUAAGUACAUUCACUGUGGUGGCAUAAAAAUAGAAUAAAUAUUUUUUUUGCUUUAUAAAAUGAAAAUAUAAAAAUAGAGAGUAAUAUUUAUUAAGAAGUCUCAACAUGAUGAAGGCUAGAUAUUUAUGCUAACACUUAAUCAGUUCCACAAAGCUUUGUUGUCUAUUUGAGCUCCACAGAAUCUAAGAAUCAAGAAGACUAGCAGACGGAGGACAUUCUAAUCCCUGUCAAGAUACUGCCGACUUUCAAAUACACCUCUGCCACCUGCUAGCUACAUCAGAAGAAAUGACGUCAAAAUUCAGCUUGGGGGAGAGCACCCCCAUUUAUCCCGCUAAGUAUUUCUAUCUAUCUUUAUACUUAUACUAUAUUAAAAUAUAGAUAUAAAUAACUAUGGAAAACCAAAUAAAGAUUUUAUGCUUAUAUAUAUAUAUAUAUAUAUAUAUAUAUAUAUAUCUUUUGCUUAGUUUAAUAAAUGAAUAAAGUGACUAUGCUAAACUGAAUCUUAAUAAUAAAACUCUAGCAUGGAUAUGAUGAAUAGUUGCUCUGCCUAAUUUUUAAAAUUUGAAGUUCUCUCUCAAGUUUAGACAUAACUGUUAUAAUUUAAAGCUUGCUCUAAACCUAAACUUGUGGGAAGAAAACUUGAUGUGAAGUCUAAGUUGUUAACGGAUACAACAUGGGAAGGUUGAGCUGCUGUUUAUCUGUUCCUAGAGAUGCUAGAAUUCUGGAGAAUUUUAUCUUUAAAAUCUUUAAAAUAUUACAUGAUGAGUUCCUGUAUGAUGAGAGUUUAAAUUCCUACCACAUCCAUAUAUACAUGCUUGCUAGACUUUGAGCCACACAUUUACUUUUUACUGCUUAUGAGCAUUGAGUGUGGUCAAGCUGUGUAGACCCUUAGGAGCUUGUCAUGUGGUUAAAAUCAAGAUUCACUUGCACGUUCACUCACACAUGCUACUUCUACUCCGGAAGUACGCAUCCACAUAUAUCCACCUUGUUGAUGCAAAAGCUAGAUCUGCAAACACAAAGGGCUAAUACCUGAUUUAAACAUUAAGGCGUGCCAGUCGAUUUGACCUUACUAUCGGCAAAGGUGAUAACUUGAAUACUUUGGUCCCGACAACAGCGAUGCGCCCGGAUGCCACGGCCAAGAGGUAUUCACGCGGAACUUGAGAACACGCCGAGUUUAAGUCGACGAAUUCCUAAGAACUCGUAAUAAAAAGGAAAAAGUAUGACGAAGUCGUCGAAAUAAUAGAUGCUAGAAUAUAAGUAAAAACUGGUGUUUGAUUGAUUGAUAGAUAUAUUCAUUACAAGGCCCUAGGGUCUACAUUUAUACCCUGCUGAAAGAGCUACAACCAGACACGACUAGAGCUCGAAUUCCAAAUUAAACAUAAUCCGUAUACAAAACGAUCUAAAUAACUAAGGAAAACAUAAAACCAUCCUCACGUGUCAAACUGGAACACCCCCAUAAGCCGAUCGGCAACUUCUAGGCUCUCCCUCCAUAUCAUCGGCAGACUCCCUUGUCGUAGCCAUCGGCACAAACACAUCAUCACCUAUGGACUUGGUCACGUUCAACCAUCCCUCCAUCGGCAACCAUCCUCAUCGGCCACUCAUCCUGUAGAUCAAGUACUGCCGUCUUAUCUUGCCGGCCCACACCUUACCAAUCAUGGACACGUGUCCAAAAACGGUGUCAACACACCUAUUUCCAUCUCCAGAAACACCAAAAAAAUAUUCUACUCCUAAUCCGGGAGAGAAUAGCCAAAAAUAUUCCUGUUUUCCCUGUGAAAUAAAUGCUCAAGUUAUCUUGGUUACUACCACUUGCUAUAUUAUUUCAUGAGAUGAAUGCUCUAAAAAAAAGAAAAAAAGAGAGAUACGAGGAAAUAAAAAGGGGCAAGUGCUCGGAACCUCGAAAGAAAAGAAAAAGUGAGACGAGAGGUAAAAAUGGACAAGUAUCCGACAGUAGAAUUAGGGGUACAAGAUACCCACCUGAGAGGAAAGAAAAAGAAAAAUAUAGAGUAUCUCAUUCUCCUCACAAAGUUUCAAAAAGCAAAGAAUGUAUGUAUCCCCUCAAAGAGCAAAAGUAGAAUUAGACUUUCACCAUUGUUAUCACCAUCAUCACCAUACACCAUUCAUUCGCCACACAUGCACAUCUUGAUUUGAUUUAUUGACUUGUUUCUUUGGAUCCAUGGUUUGACUAUGCAAUAAAUGUCUUGUAAGUAUGUAUACUUUAUCUCCCACCUAUGAGCUCCAGAUAUUAAAGUCUUAUUAGAGUAGGGUGAGAGAGAAGGCAAUACCACUAUGCCUUAUACCACAAAUACCACAUAUUUGAGAGAAAGCGUAUACCAUCACUGCCUUGGUAAGGAUCCAGAAAUACUACAAAAGAGAGAUUUGAGAGAGUCAUAAAAGGAAUCUCUGAGUUUUAUUUGAAAAUCUGCAAAAACUCCAGAGCUAUAGCUGAUCAAGAAUAAGAUACAUGACACUUGAUUAGACCGUUCUAUCUUUUAACUACUCAAGACAGAAGUGACGGUUAUAAGUCCCAU